rnacentral:rRNA from 1 species
CCUACGGGAGGCAGCAGUGAGGAAUAUUGGUCAAUGGCCGGAAGGCUGAACCAGCCAAGUCGCGUGAGGGAAUAAGGCCCUAUGGGUCGUAAACCUCUUUUGUCAGGGAGCAAAGGCGUCCACGUGUGGACGAGAGGAGAGUACCUGAAGAACAAGCAUCGGCUAACUCCGUGCCAGCAGCCGCGGUAAUACGUAGGAUGCGAGCGUUAUCCGGAUUGAUUGGGGUUAAAGGGUGCGUAGGCGGAGUGUCAAGUCAGCGGUAAAAUUUCGGGGCUCAACCCAGUAGUGCCGUUGAAACUGACGCCCUUGAGUGAGUGAGAGGUAGGCGGAACGUAUGGUGUAGCGGUGAAAUGCUUAGAGAUCAUACAGAACACCGAUUGCGAAGGCAGCUUACCAAGCUAAUUCUGACGUUGAGGCACGAAAGCGUGGGGAGCAAACAGGAUUAGAUACCCCUGUAGUC